UAUAAAUGAUGAGGUCACAGUGGAAACUAAAAUGGGAUUAAUUCGUGGCCUAAAAGCGACAGAUGGGGACUAUUCAAUGUUUCUUGGAAUUCCUUAUGCUACGGUUGACAAAGAUAAUCCUUUUGGGCUAUCAACUCCUCAUUCGAAGUUCGACAACGUAUUCGACGCGAAAGAUAAUUCCGUGAUAUGCCCUCAAAGAGAAGAGAACGGAACAACAACAAUGAGUUUAGACUGUUUACAUCUAAGCGUGUAUGUACCUGAAUGUGUUUCAACUAAUAAUCGUCUUCCCGUACUUGUUUUCAUACAUGGCGGAGCCUUCGUCACAGGAGACUCUAGAAAGUCUAAAUAUGGCCCCAAAUUUUUGGUCAGACACGACAUUAUUUUGGUCACUUUUAACUAUCGCCUUGGACCUUACGGUUUCAUGUGCUUACAUACAGUUGAAGUUCCAGGCAACCAGGGGUUGAAAGAUCAGCUAUUAGCUUUAAGGUGGAUAAGAGAUAACAUUGAAGCGUUUGGAGGUGAUGUUGAUAGCAUAACAGUAGCUGGAGGAAGUGCUGGAGCUAGGUCGGUGGACUUGCAAUUGUCGUCUCCCCAAGAAAAAUUGUUUCACAGAGCAAUUUUGCAAAGCGGAUCAGCUUUAAAUCCUGGCUGGUUUCCUGGACCCGAUUUGCGAGCACCAGAGAAGGUGGCUGAAGUUCUUGGGUACACGGCUACUAAUGUAGAUGACGCUAUUUCUUUUCUAGCCAAAGUAGACCCAAAAUCAGUUAUAAAGGCAGCGGCAACGGCCAAUGUUGUUUUUAGACUUUGUGUCGAAAAGGAGAUCGAUGGUAUUGAAAGAUUUUUACCGGUGCAUCCCUUACAUGCAGAUAUGCCUAAAGCUGCAGGCAUACCAAUCUUACUUGGGUACAAUAGCCAAGAAAUGCUUACAGUGUAUGUAAAUCAACAACCACCUGAGACCCUAAAUUUGUUUCAUAAUAGACUGAAAAUCACGUUUGAUUUUAAAAAUGAAACAGUAACUGAACUGGAAAAGAUUGUGAGAAACUUUUACAUUGGUGAUGAGGAGAUGACAAAAAAUAAUAGUGAAAAUAAAUUCGCACUAGCCGAUUUUGAUUCUGAUACCAUGUAUGUUCAUUCUACUACGAGAAAUAUAGCAAGAUAUAUUAAAAAUGGUGCCGAUAAAAUUUUCUAUUACGUAUUUUCAUACAACGGGAGAAGAAAUUUUGUUAAAUCAAGAAACAAUGUGACUGUUGGCGGUGCUAAUCAUGCUGAUGAAUUAGGUUACUUAUUUGACAUGGAUGUAUUUCCAGAAGAACCUUCAUCUGAGGAUCAGAAAGUUAUUGAUAUAAUGACUACAUUGUGGACUAACUUUGCUAAGUAUGGCGACCCGACUCCGUCUACUACAGAGUUAUUAACAGUCAAAUGGGAACCAAUUAGCAUAGAUUCACAGUAUCAUUACUUGGACAUAGAUUCAGAAUUGAACGUUGGAAUGAAUCCUUUUUACAAAAGAAUGGCUUUUUGGGAUCUAUUCUUCAAAGCAUAUGGGGAGUAUGAGCUUGGUUACGCAGAAAAUAAUCAUUCUACACGUCAUAUAAUGCAUCCUUUGAAUAUUUUGCUUCACAUUUUGUUAUGGCUAUGUGUAAGGUAAAUUAUUUUAAUGUAGAUAUGUAGUCGUAUUUUAUUAUAGCCUUUACACACAUAAAAAUGAGCAUUAGAAAAAAUAAUAUAGAGAUUGUAUGUAAUUGCACAACAUUUGUUACCUUCAAUAAAAUUAUGUUGGCGAGUU